ensembl:misc_RNA Metazoa_SRP Metazoan signal recognition particle RNA
GCCGGGUGCGGUGGCGCGUGCCUGUAAUCCAAGCUACCGGGAGGCUGAGGUUGGAGGAUCGUUUGAGCUCAGGAGCUCUGAGCUGCAGCAGGCUAUGUCGAUCGGGUGUCCGCACUAAGUUCGGCAUUGAUAUGGUGAUCCUGGGGAUCCCGGGACCACCAGGUCAUCUAAGGAGAGGUGCACCGGCCCAGGUCGGAGGCGGAGCAGGUCAAAGCCCCGUGUCGCUCAGUAGUGGGAUCGCGCCUGUGAAUAGAUGCUGUAGCGCAGCCUGAGCAAUACAGCGAGACCCAAUCUUUA